rnacentral:rRNA from 1 species
UACGUAGGGGGCAAGCGUUGUUCGGAAUUACUGGGCGUAAAGGGCGCGUAGGCGGCCCUGUCAGUCGGGUGUGAAAGCCCGGGGCUCAACCCCGGAACGGCACCCGAGACGGCGGGGCUGGAGACCGGGAGAGGAGGGUGGAAUAGCCAGUGUAGAGGUGAAAUUCGUAGAUAUUGGCUGGAACACCGGUGGCGAAAGCGGCUCUCUGGCCCGGUUCUGACGCUGAGGCGCGAAAGCGUGGGGAGCAAACAGG